rnacentral:tRNA from 1 species
AGGCCAGUAGCUCCAAUUGGUAGAGCGACGGUCUCCAAAACCGAAGGUUGCAGGUUCGACUCCUGCCUGGCCUG